CCUCCUCCUCCUUUACAGGCAUGAGCCACUGCGCUUGGCUGUUUUUUCCUCCUCCUCCUCCUCCUCCUCCUCCUUUACAGGUGUGAGAGCCACCAGGCCUGGCUGUUUCUUCCUUCUCCUCCUCCUCCUCAUUCUCCUCCUCCUUUACAGACCUGAGCCAGGGAGCCUGGCUGUUUCUUCCUCCUACUCCUCCUCUACAGGUGUAAGCCACCAAGCCUCGCCGUUUCCUUCUCCUCCUCCCUCUCCUCCUUCUCCCCCUCCUCCUCUUCUCCCCCUCCCUCCUCCCCCUCCUUUCCUCCUCCUCCCUUCUUCCUUUCCUCCUCUUCCACCUCCUUCU
rnacentral:lncRNA from 1 species